AAAUCAAAUACCAUGGUCUAAUAAUCAACCAUUCUGAUUAAUUGAUAAUAUUAGUAUUAGUUGGAAAUUUUCUGAAAGAUUCCUGUGAAAAGUUUCAUUAACGCGUAAUUCGUGUCGAGUAGACCUUGUUGUUGUGAGAAUUCUUAAUUCAUGAGUUGUAGGGAGGGAUUUAUGUCACCACAAACAGAGACUAAAGCAAGUGUUGGAUUCAAAGCUGGUGUUAAAGAGUACAAAUUGACUUAUUAUACUCCUGAGUACCAAACCAAGGAUACUGAUAUAUUGGCAGCAUUUCGAGUAACUCCUCAACCUAGAGUUCCACCUGAAGAUGCAUGGGCCGCGGUAGCUUUCGAAUCUUCUACUGGUACAUGGACAACUAUAUGGACCGAUAGACUUACCAGUCUUGAUCGUUACAAAGGGAGAUGUUACCGCAUCAUGCGCGUUGUUGGAGAAAAAGAUCAAUAUAUUACUUAUGUAGCUUACCCUUUAAACCUUUUUGAAUAAGGUUUCAUUACCAACAUGUUUACUUCUAUUGUAGGUAAUGUAUUUGGGUUCAAAGCCCUGCGCGCUCUACGUCUGGAAGAUCUGCAAGUCCCUACUGCUUAUAUUAAAACUUUCCAAGGUCUGCCUCAUGGGAUCCAAGUUGAAAGAGAUAAAUUGAAAAAGUACGGUCAUCCCCUAUUGGGAUGUACUACUAAACCUAAAUUGGGAUUAUCUGCUAAAAAUUAUGGUAGAGCUAUUUAUGAAUGUCUUCGCAGAGGACUUGAUUUUACCAAAGAUGAUGAGAACGUGAACUCACAACCAUUUAUGUCUUGGAGAAAUCAUUUCUUAUUUUGUGCUGAAGCACUUUUUAAAGCAUAGACUAAAACAGGUGAAAUCAAAGGGCAUUACUUGAAUGCUACUAUAGGUACAUACGAAGAAAUGAUGAAAAGAGCUGUAUUUUCUAGAGAAUUAGGCGUUCCAAUCCUAAUGCAUGACUACUUAACGGGGGGAUUCAUCGCAAAUAGUAGCUUGGCUCAUUAUUGAUGAGAUAAUGGUCUACUUCUUUCCUACUUAUGCCUUAUAGCGUAGCAAUAAAAAUAAGCUUCUUCCGGGACCGAAACAUGGAGACCAAAAUGUUUUGACUUACUGCCACACCUUGAUUUUUCUUUAUUACUAUUAUGUUCUGCCCUUACAUCGUAAAAGUAAGGGUUAAGCUAUAGAACUAGAUACGUAAGAGAAAGAGAGAAGAGCAGAAGUUUACUUCUUUGCUGAGGCAUAAGCAAUAGCAAACAAUCUCUAACACUGUACAUUAAGUGGUCCACUGUCUAACAUCUUUCGUAUCUUGUUCGUGCUCAUUUCCAAGGUAGAUCUUUUUCUUUUCCUUGAAAGAUAUUGCGUAUGAAGAGAAAGAUAGCCAGUCCUCUUGGGCGGCCAAGAGUGUUAUGUAAAAAGGACCAAGGAGGAUCCUAUCCAUCAGGAGAAGGAGGAGGAGUAGGAGCUAGCCUUAGGGGCAGAAUCGAAGCGAAGAAAUUCGUUCAUGCGACAACGAUCUAUAUGGAAGGGUAGUUUUGUUGAUACAUUCCUCUUGAGAAUGAAGAAAAAGAGAAAUCUUCUUUUUAACAGGAAAAUUUGGUCACUACAAUCUUCUAUGAGACAAAGAAGAGCAGUUAGACAAUUCACUUUGAGUACAGAGAAGUUUGCAGGUAAGAAUUCCUCAGGGCGUAUUACGAUUUUCACCGAGGGGGUGGAUCAAAGCGAUUGCAGCGGAGAAUUGAUCUAAAAUGAAAGACUGAGUCUAUAGGCAUUGUAGAAAGGAUAGAACGUGCGCCUAAUCACUCUUUUUGGAUUUCUCCAAUAUGAUGGUUCCCUCGGAAGGGGGGGUCCGCCAAUGCAACACGAUAAAAAAGUUCGCUCUGCCGCGUAAGAUCCUCGUAUCAAAAUCAACCAUGACUACUAUAUUUGAGAGAAAAUACUUUAAGGUAUUCGAUCUUCUCCUUGUGAUCUUUUUUCAUUAGUACUCGAGGAGGUGGGGGAAGAUUCUUGAAGGAUUCCUUGCCGCGUGCGGUGAGAGGAGGGAGACCUCCUUUGACCCUAUUUACCCUCCCCAAAGAAAUACGCAGCCAGCUAUUCCCCAAACGGAGGUUCAUCCAGUUCCGCGUGCCAUCUUAGUUUUGGAAUUAGAGCACCCUCUUUUUAUGAAUAGGCAAAGAAGAACAGAGCUUCAUACCCAGCUAGCGUUCUUCUUUCAGGAGAGGAACGAGGCCAGGCACCUCCCAAUCUAUCUUGGGAUAUUGGAUAAGUAGUUCCUGGUUGAAAAGAGGGUCGAGGCUGCAUUGGUGCAGGAUAGAUUUUCCCCCAGAUGCUUUCGCAUCAGAAGUAGGAAAUUCGCAGCAUCUUAUUCAGUCAUCCUACUCAGGUGGGAACUGCUAUCGGCGAAAAUACCUUAAAUAGGUAUUUGGCCCAGAUAGAAUGGGAGGGCAUACAAUAGAGUCUACCUUAUCUAAGGGUGAUUCGCGCAAGCCGAUUUUAGGUCUGAAUAGGUACGACUGGCUGAUAGACCCCUAUUGUAUUGGAAUUAGGCGCCUAUUUUUUUACUGUUGUCAAUGAAUCUCUUCCAUGUUCGAUUCUACUCUAUGUUAGAACAUUUCUAUGAAUGUUAUUCUGAUCUAAGUGGUCUUAUUCUUUGUCCUAUUCUAGGAAGUAUUACUCCUAUUUUCAUUCCAAAUUCAAGAUUACGACCGAUAUAAUUAAUUGGUCUGUGCGUCUCUCUUAUUACUUUUUUGUAUCCCCCUGUUCUUCAGAUACAAUUUGAUCUUUCUACGGCCAAAUCUCAAUUUGUGGAAAGCCUUCGAUGGCUUCCUUAUGAAAACAUCAAUUUUUAUUUGGGUAUAGACGGUAUCUCUUUAUUCUUCGUGAUAUUGACCACAUUUCUGAUCCCUAUUUGCAUUUUAGUGGGUUGGUCUGGUAUGAGAAGUUAUGGGAAAGAGCAUAUUACAGCAUUUCUAAUUCGUGAAUUUAUAAUGAUCGCCGUGUUCUGCAUGCUGGAUCUUCUACUAUUCUAUGUUCUUCCCGAAAGUGUGCUAAUCCCUAUGUUGUGCGGAGCUAAGUAUCUUCUAUUUGCUGGGAUAAAGCCUUUCCUCUGUAGGGACCUUGUGCAGUAAACCCCCUACGGGCGGUCGUCCAUCGUCCUAAAGUAGUCCCCGUGAAGCUUUUGGGAAGAGGGGUAGUCUUGUGUGUAAGCAUAGUAUUUCUGGUCGAACCCGCCCAAUCCAACUAAGAAGAACCAAACCCGACAGACACAUCUUUUUCUUUUUGGGAGGGUACUCCGAGUAGUGGGUACCUCGUAGGACCUCGUCCUUCCUACUUGGGUCUUGCAUGGAUAUGCAGGAAGGGGUGCUCCUAGGUGUGUGUAGGGAUUAUGUUUGUUUGCGAGAAAGGAUUCCUCAUCAAGUAAGUUUGGGGCUGUGGACACACUUGUGCGAAUUUGGGAAACGGCUACAAGGGAGAAAGAGAAAGAAAACUAUACCUGACUAGGAAUGGAUGUAAACUCGUAAGCUACCGAAGGUAGGGAUAAUCGUCCAGGUUUUACUGUGAAAGAAAAAAGCUGCCCCGCCACAAUAGACGCGUUGCUUCCUCUAUCGUCGCCGGGGAGCUCUUGGCGAGGAGACCUUAGGAUAAGUUGCUAAAACAAAUGGGAUGGGAGGAUCGACCCGUUCAGAUAAUUCCGAAGAAAGACUAUUGGCAGUAGGUAGGGAGAUUUUUUUUUCCUCUUCAAAACAUAAGGAAAUGCGGGUAGGGUCGAGCUCGGCAGAGGGUUCGAGAAUAGGGUAGGGUCCUGUCCUUAAGAUUCAGAUAAGAAAAUAUUUCCAAACCUUUGUGCUCCUUACAAGUGCUGCAUACAAGUUCCGGCCAGGAUGAUUAAGAAAGAUUCAAUCAAUUUGAACCGCUAAUAUCAAAAUAAUGUAAAGGCCGUAAGUCGGGGGCGGCCAUAACAUAAGGCUAUUAAUUUCACAUCUCUCUCUCUCUCUAAGAGAGUGAUACACUACGUGAGUAACCCUACUGUGCCUUACAUAUGCUCUACAGGCCACACAUAAUCUUUCUUCCCAAUGAGCCUUUUUUUAUUUGGAAGACGGGCAUUGUGUUUGGUUCAAAACGCAUGGUUUUCAAUAUGUCUCCAGAUAGGCCCCCACUAGUUCGGCUAGCUAGUGAGUGGUUCUUUUGGGCGGGAAGAAGGACGGACCCUAUGGGCGAGCAUCUCCCACAACACAAGAACCAUUGUUCUACACCACCCGAGAAGCAAAAAAUUCGUCAGUCCAGGCUGAAAAUACAUGCAUAGAUAGUGGUUUAAUGCCAAGGCCGACGACAGAAGCUCGAGAAGGAGCUGUAUAAGGUGGAAGUCUCACGUACGGUUCUAUGAGAAGGGAGUGGCUACCUACUAGAGCUUCAACCAAGCACCACCGGUCAAUUCUGCUUUGGGGCCACCCUUGACUCUACCAUCAUUAUAGGGGUAUGGGGUUCGAGGCAAAGAAAUAUCAAGGCAGCAUAUCAGUUUUCCUUUAUACUUUACUUGGAUAUGUUUUUAUGCUAUUAGCUAUUCAGUUGAUUCUUCUCCAAACAGGAACAACUGAUUUACAAAUCUCAUUAACCACAGAAUUUAGUGAGCGGCGCCAAAUCUUUCUAUGGAUUGCUUCUUUCGCCUCUUUCGUCGUCAAAGUGCCUAUGGUAGCAGUUCAUAUUUAGUUACCUGAAGCUCAUAUAGAGGCACCUAAGGUAGGAUCCAUCAUCUUGGUAGAAAUUUCUUUAAAAUUGAGAACCUACGGUUUUUUAAGAUUUUCAAUACCCAUGUUUCCCGAAGUGACACUUUGUUCCACUCCUUUUAUUUAUACUUUAAGUGUGAUUGCUAUAAUAUAUACUUCCUCGACCACAUUAAGACAGAUCGAUCUUAAGAAGAUCAUUGAUUACUCCUCAGUAGCUCAUAUGAAUCUGGUGACAAUUGGUAUGUUUAGUCGGGCGGCGGCUGUUAGGUCACCUAUUUUGAGUUAUGGACACGCAAGGGCAAAACAUGUGUGCCGGGCAUGCGACCCAUCAACUACUAGCAAUAGGGAAGAAAGCACAGAACGUCGUAAUAAAAGCUUGAUUCAAGGCGUCAACAAAACACUUCCACCUGUUCCAAAAACAAAAGCCCAUUAGCACCCUGGGACGGGAGUGGGGGAUGGCCGUACGUGCAGGCAACAGCAGCACCGGCUCUACGAAGUCAGAAUCAAAUUUUUCUGUUGGCUUUCCCAAUUCAUUUGUGAAUAAUAAUUCAAGGGCGUGAAGCGAGUACUUCUAGCUGCUUCGCCUGCUUCUUAUUAUGGAGGCUAUAUUUUCGUGGCAAAAAUGAACGAAAAGCAAGAUGAGCAUGCUAUUUUCAAUUUGAUUGAUAGAUAGCCUAAUCUGUUCUGAUAGAUCAAAAUACAUAGAGAGGGAAUCUCUUAAGAAUAAGGGGAAAUCUCCUAUUUCUAUCUAUUGAUGAGACAACUAUCUAUUCUUGAUCCAUCAAAAAGAAAUCGAUAUGUAUCUGAUGGAGUCUACAUCGUACGUAGAGCGCCCAAGAAUUUUUUAGGCCAGCUCAGUAGUCUUAUACAUCAGUCCAAUUCACUAGGCUCAUCUCAUGGAGGUAAAAGCAAAAAUGUAGUUGUCUUGUUCACUGCCUCAAUACAUUUCCUUCUCUCCCGGGUAUCAUCCCAUACAGAAAGAAAGAGUACAGAGCCUUGGCCUGACCUGUAGGUCCACUAACGUAAAGCGAGGAGUUGAGCCUGAACUAGAAAACUAAAGUCACUUUUGGAACCAUACUUCCUACAGCUAACAUGUGUCCAGUCCAUCGGGAAUGCGUAGCACAAAUGAACCUGAGCUGUUAUACCGAAUCCCCCGCUGGCCAUCGGGGAUCGAGUGAUAAGGCCAUGAUCCACAGGGGAACAGAUCAAUCAUUCUUCCAUUAGGGACAGGUGCACCAAAGACAACUCCAAACGUCACAUAUCCGCCGCCUACCUACCAUUUAGGUGGCACCAACAAGAUCCAGCUAAGGUAAGAAAGUGUUGCGGCUGCUCCUCUCUAUUGCGUUGCAGUCUCAUGAACUGAACUUCGUUGCCUUCCCGAAUAUGAAGCGAAUGGGUACUGUGUCGUGGGUCAGUUUUGGGGUGGGAAGAGAAGAGAUACCAGAAGAAUGAUUCAUUUGGAUCGACGAGCUUUUUCAGCCUAACAACUCAGAAUAAAUAGAAUGUCUGUCUAUCCAUGAACAUCUAUUCUAUCUGUAUAUCUAGGGGAUCUCUCUAUGCAUAUAGAUUUUUUUAUGGAAUGAUAUGAUCGGGUAGCCAUAUCCGUAUAUCAGCUAUGCUCAAUGCGGGAUUUCUGUUGGAUCAUAUCUUUUGGGAAACUUUUAGACCUAGCAAAAAGGCCUCUAAGCCUUCAUGCAAGCAAGCGCGUGAGAAACGGAGCAAGAAGCUACCGCUUCCCCCGACCGACUAAAAUACAACAGUCGUGACCUACUUUGAUUCAAAAUAAAGGUAAAGGGUUUGGCAACAAGUAAACGGCUUUGUAUCAUAGUAGCAAGGGCUCCAAACCUUAACUACUUAAGUACCAAAGGCUACUUUUGGUUAGUUUCAUAAUGGCGAUGUUCACUACAAGCUAUCAGUGCUCAGCGCUGUCUUAGAUUGAACGUUUACUUAUCUUAUUGCCGUUCAAUCUCUAAAGUGGAUUUCCACUGAGAACAGAAUAGUGUUCGUAUCCAAAGGUGAACAAAGCCCUAGCUUCUAGAGUUCGCUACUUUUCCCAGGCCGGAGAAGGGCUUAUACUGCUUACCUUUGUUUGAUAUGUUCAUUCAGUACCAAUACAAAUGAAAACUACACCAAAGUGGAAGGGCCAGUAUAGAAGCUAGAAGUAGCUUGCCUAUAGUAGUCGGCCUAACCAAAGCCUUAUGAGAACAUUAAAUUAGCCUUAUAAAUUGAAUCUUAAGUAGGGGGCUUAGCCCACCCGCCUAUCAAUCAAAGAGGCUGAUAAUAAGCGUAAGCUCACCCGGAAUUUCGAAGAGCUUCCCUUUAUUUGCUUCGCGGGAGUUGCACAACACAUAGCUUAAAGUCAGAGGGCCCAUAGUACCUGCCUCACCCUUCGCUCCGAGAGACCGUAGAUAAAAAAGUGCCUUCUAAACCACCCCAUUCAUCAAAAAGAGAAGGGAAGGGGCCUAUGUAUUUGCAUGACCCUUGUAGAUUUCACCCUAUCUAUACCCGGAGCCACUCCCCUAGCGGUCCUGCCACCACGCCGUAGAAUGGGAGCUCAUGUGGAAUCUUUUAUUCUAGCGUAACAGCGGUAGAACAUAACAAAAUAUUACGGCUGCCUAACAUAGGGGACAGAGGUACGGUAAACCCGGCCAAAAUAUAAGACCCGAAGGGCCCGACGCGCACAAUCCUAUCCUAUCCGAGUUCGAGUAUAACCCUUGCACUUCGGACAGCCGUUCGUAGCAUCAUAAGGAGGACCCCCCUUUUAAGGUAAAAAAAUAGUACGGUACAUAGGAGGUUGGUAUUUCUCAACGUGGUGUAUAGCACAAAAAACCUUUCAAUAUAAGAUAGGGCCGUUCACAUAAAAGAAAAAAUGAAUCUUUCUUAUCUUCUUUCCCUCUCAGGAAAGAGAAAAAGGGUUUUAUGGAGGAAGGAGGGAGGGAAAAGGCUUGGGCCUACCUAUCCCGAUAGGACCCCAUAAAAGAACGAGAGUUGUGGAGAGGUUCCAUAUUGCCGAGAUGAAGGACAACACUUUUGUACGUGAUCAUAGUAUGUCACAUCGUCUUGUCCCCACUGCAUCAAAGAGUAACUAUGCACUAUAUUCUAGUUUGCUGAUAAGGAAGAUAGUGUUGGGGUAGGGGUCUACGAUGUGAUACUAAAGUAUGACCGAGGGAAAUAUAUUCUAACUAUGGGUAGGAAGCAGGACCAUUAUGUCAGAAAUUGCGGGAGGUUACAGAUCUCUUAUACUACCAUCGAUUGAUAGAGCAGAACGACCAGAAAAAGAAGUAAAGUUAGAAAGCCGUAUGAUAGGUGGUAACUAUCUUGUAUGGUUUGGGGGGUAAUUGGCGUACUUCGAUCAGUGGGGGGAUAUUUGGCUCUAUCAAACAUACAGGGAAUUGGAGGUAGCAUUCUACCGAUGUCAAGUCAUAGACUGGUUUCUUCAGCCCUUUUUCUAUGUGUUGGUGUUCUAUAUAACCUACAUAAGACUCGACUUGUUAGAUAUUACGGAGGUUUAGUAAGCACCAUGCCAAAUCUCUCUACCAUUUUCUUCUUUUCCACUUUGGCAAAUAUGAGUUCACCUAGUACUAGCAGCUUUAUAAGGGAAUUUCUCAUCUUAGUAGGAGCUUUCCAAAGAAAUAGCUUAGUAUCCACAUUAGCAGCGCUUGGGAUGAUUUUAGGCGUGGCCUAUUCCCUUUGGCUAUAUAAUCGUGCGGUUUUUGGAAAUUUAAAACCCGAUUUCCUCCAUAAAUUCUUUGAUCCAAAUGGCAUUGAAGUUUCCAUAUUUAUACCUUUUCUUGUUGGAGGGACGACCGUCCAUUAAACUAAUAAAGAAACUAGGGUAAACUAAUAUGAUCAUGACAUUGUAGGUGCUUGCGAUGGGACGGAUGCGACUUUCCUCAGUUGUUUUGGGUGGCGUAGCCCGUUGCAUAAGUCCCCCCUUUUUUUACCCAUUUCUUUAGUCUUUAGGGAGCUAAAGCUUGACUUUACUAAACUAAUAAAUAAGGCUCGCGCUAGGCUCUUACCUUUUUUGGCUGUAGGGUUGGGGUGCUUUGCUGGGUAAGACUAAUAGAAAGAAAGGACAGGGGUCAACCAUGCAUGGUACUUCUUGACCCUGUCUUCGAGGGAUAGUUGAACUAGCGACUCAUGAAUACUGCUGGGUUGGACGAGCCAAUAACUCAAAGGCGUUUGGUUUGUUUUUUGAGCAAGAAUCAUAGCCUUACCUUAUCUUCACCAUGAUAUGGACUCCAAGUUCUUAUGGCAGAGCACGAGGAGAUUUAUCAUCAAUAUGAUAAUUGGAAUGGAAACCAGAAGCACGACUGGGUUCCUCAUGGUCCAAGAUAAUCAAACCAUCAAUAACAGUAACAUAAGCAUGAGACUUUUUGGUAGUACUGGUGAACCAGAUGGCCGCGACGAUGGGAUCUAGGAUGGAGGACUUGUAGUAUCUCUCUAGAUCUGGAAAAAGCGAAAGACCCCCUAACAUAAUUCGAAUAGAGGCUGACUGCUGAGCCCACUCUGGCCUCACAGGGCGAGCCCCUGUGGUUGCGAGCUGGAGCUACCAUAGCUUAUGGAUAUAGCAAUGGGAGGGCCUCAAUAGAGAGAAAAUUUGAGAAAACGAGUGCUCCACCUUCCAAGAGGGCAGCAGGAGCAGCAGGCAAGUGCUUGGUAAGCCAACAACCCAGUGAACUGGGCGGGGCACUGGAAGAAAGAGGGCACACUGAGCAAGUACGAGAGAUUAGCCCUGCUCCUAUUUCUUAAAAGCAAGGACCACUACGGGAGCUCAAACCAAGGAUUUAAGAAAGUGGGGGCUCAUCCUCGGUCAAUAUUGGAUCAAAAAAUAGGGGGUCGUAGCACUGACCUCUUUUUUUAUUAAUUCAAUACAAUAGGGGAAAAGAUCAUACAGUUCCCUACCGAGAUAAACUCUUAAUAGAUCCUCCUCACACUGGGAAUAAUUCUUCCGUGCGUAAGAAAAGACCCGACCCAGGGCGAGCUUUAUUUAUUAUUGAGAGAAUGGGGAGUGAAUCGAAUUCUCUUUCUAUUUUUAGGGGCUUUCGAGCCUCUCUCGAUCUUUUUUAUAUUUGAGAAGGGGGAAGGAGUCUAUAUCAAUGGAAAUUAAUGAGUCAUCAUUGAUGGGUGUUGCACAUGACACGAUCAAUUCUACUUAAGGUUUGGUGCUAAUAAAAGUUGCUUACUUUCCUAGUAGCGAAGGAAAGGAGCUGAAAGCCACUAUAAGGAGAGGGUAGGACUUUUUUCGUAGUAAUCGUGGGCCGAUCUCAUGAGAUCUAUGCCAGCCAUCAAAAUCAAACAAAGGUUUAAGGACCAUUUGAUUUAUUAAGGGGCAUAGUGAUACCCUUGCCUGGCGCCAUUUUCGGACCUAGCAGCAGACGAACGGGUCAUGCCUGAAUUCAGACUGGACCAAACUCUUCUUUGUUUGAGCUGAUCCUAGGCACGUAGACCGAAGAUCUCACUUGUCCUAGAUAAGUACGUAGAGAUCUUUGUGGGACCGUGGAGGGAGUCUCAAUCAAUCUUUUCUAGGAUUCCUUAUCACGCCACACAUGGAGAUCUUUCCAUUGAUAGAUCAGAGGGUCCUCCUUGAACAAAUUCUUAAAGGUUAGGUUACUACCUGCUUCUACGGAAGAGGUUUACUUUGUACCGCCCGAAGGUCAUAUAGAUCGAAAUCCAGAGUGAUAAGAACGAAAGGGUUAGUGUGGCCACAGCUACAACUACUGGCGCUUCAAAAGUCUUAGAUUCUAAGGGCGCUACUGAAAGCCUUUUUUUAGGUCCUGUAAUAGGGAGGUGUAAUCCUUGAAAGCCUUUGGUACUUCGGUAGGGCGAGCAUCCCUUAAACCAAAAAAAAAAAGAGUCUCUGACUUCCUUCCCCUCUUUUUCCUUAUGAAUUUCAUUCUUUGGCCCGCUUCAAACAAAAUGAGAAAAAAGGGUCCGGUCAAUAGCAUAUAUAUUUCUUUCCUUGGUCUCUUUUCGAUGGAGAGGCCUUCACAUUCCUCAUCCGGUAGGGUCAAACGGCUUUCUUUGCCCCAGCUUGGCGAAUCACAUCCCCGCACAACAAUAUUUUUUAUUUGUGCGCCCCUUACCGUUCUCGCUCAGUCUUUCAACGGCUGGGAAGACAGUCAUAGAAAUAAAGCCUAUCACCACGCCAACUAUCAAAUAGGAGACUAGGCCCCUUCUCAAAGAUUUGAUGGAAUGGCCCACCCCACCCAAGAAUGCUUAUGUCAUAGGGGAAUUCAUGGCUGGAAACAAUCCUGGUGGUUUGUUUUGAUAUCCGGUAGGAAUAAUAAAAAAAAGUCCAGGUUGGUUGGUGAUCCUAGUGAUAGGAGACUAUCUAGCUUGGUUCAGAGAGCACUUGUUGGGAACGAUAUUUUUUGGUUGCUAAAUGUUACGGCCUAAAUAUUGAACUAUUGAUGCUACUUGUUCGGAUGGGUGUUCACCCCAAAGUGUUCCCGGACCGCAUGCAUACAUCCGUAAGUAACUUAGUGCAACAUGGAAAAUUUCAUUGAGAUGAAUCAGCAAACAAAAGAAAAACGGGUCAAGUACAUCAACUUGUGUAUUUGAGAGAUUGUCCUCAGGUUGAGGAGUGUCCACAUGAGUUCGUUAAGGUGUUUACAUAUGCUUGUGGUCCUCUUUUAUAUUAUUUCAAGAGUUCGGAUUGCUCCACCUAAGUAGAACGAAAAGAAGAAAUUAGAAAAGAAAAAGGGGAGCUAUUAUAAAGCCUAGAAAGGCGGAAGAAGAAAAUCAAUUAUACCGAGUUCCCCAAUAGCAGCUUAGCUUAGUAGCAACACUUUUUCUACCCGCCGGUGUGGCACUAUUGGAUGCUUCUGAUCAAUAGAACACGGAGAUGAUGAGUAGGAGUUUACUUUAGGAGUGGAAUCAAUUUGAAAAUACAAAAAUGAAUGAGUUAUUUAAAGCUGUCGUGCCUUUUGUGACAAGUUUCCAAGGAACUUUGAGUGGGAGACAGAGGGCGAACCCACAGGUUCCCGAUGCCCUACCUGAAGCUCCAUCGUAGGGUCCCAAUUUUCCUCUACCCGAAAUAGUUAGGAAAUAAAGGAGGGAACCUUUUUUCAUUAGAAGAAAUGAAAGUAUGAAGGCCUUUAUGCUCAAUCGAAUAAGAAAGCUAUACAGGUAAAAUAGCCCUUUUCUGCUUUCUAAAGCAAAGGGGGAGCAUUGGUCAGAAGUAAAGACCACACUCCACAAUUGUGGCUCUCAGAAAGAGUAUUACAGGUUACUGUGUUUUGAGAAUAGAGAUCUACAAAUUAGGGAGAGAAAACAUUCAUAUUUUUUCUCUUUCAAGAGAUUCUGUCUCGAAAUCGUGCCUUAAGGGGGAAUGCUGCCAAUCCUACCGAGGACUUUAUGGAUUUUUUUUUCGAGAAGCGAGAGGUACUAGAGUUUUCACAUUUGAAUUUCUCAAUCAUUCCAUGUUCCCAAAAUGGAUCCUAUCAAAUAUUUCACAUUUUCUAUGAUUAUCUCUAUUUCAGGUAUUCGGGGAAUCCUCCUUUAGUUUCACACUGGGGAGAUCUCGACUCUUAGGAGGGGGGGUUGCUUUGAACCUAUAUUUUCUCUAAGAGAAAGGUGACUUCCCUAAGGUCUAAUGACUUAAAAAAAAAGAGGGGAGGGGCUAGUAUGAUAGCACCAUUGGUUACUACAGCAUUUUCAGUUUUUGAAUCCUUAGCGUCCUUGCUUUUCAGCUAGUUGUUAAACGAUAGCAUGACCAGUUCUUAAAUCUAUUUCCUCAUCUAGUAAUAGGUAGGGUCGGGUAAAGGCAGUGAUCCCACCCAUGGUUAGAGUAAAGGUUCAAAAAGUAGGAGUUUGAUCAUCCUUUCCCUAGGCGGGAUGUCACCAAUCGUACAAGUGCGAAGGUUUGGUGUGGGUAACCCUAUCCCUCUUGAAGCAGUAUGGUACACGUCCUGGAAUUACGAACUUUAUAUUUCCCAAAAUUUUGGGGGGAGUAGUCUUAAUAAUAGGCAAAGUAGGCAAAGGAUCUUCCGUAACAGACCUUACUAAACGGUCGAGUACCAAGAGCUUCUCAUCCCCAAUUGAGUUGCAAAAUCUAAGCAAUCAACCAUCUCUCCUCUUCAAUCUUAUUGGCCCCCUUGCAUUCGACUUCUUAUGGCUCUCUAUCAGCUAGUUAGGUUAACUAGCCAUUCUUUUCCUAGUCUUAGUUUCUAUAAAGCAAUAUUGGGUAGAGUACCUAUGAAGAUGUCUUAUACUUAUAAAGCCUCUGUCGCACUUUCUAUGGCACGUUAGGAGCACCUCAGAAAAAGUAUAUUGGUGGGCAUGUCUACGAGCAAUCUUAUUAAGGUGAAUGCAUGCAUCGAAAGGUCUAUUCCUUAACUAAUAAUAAAAUUAAUAGACCAGAAUGGAUGUUUUCAAAUUCUUCGUCAGAGGAGAAUUGAUCACCCACCUUUAUGUGAUGAGUGGACGGUUUUUCCAAUGGUGCAUCUUUACCUGGCAUUCUAUUAUAUAAUUAAUAUAUAAUUAUAUAAUAUAGGGUCAUCGGUUGAUAGGUCUGUCUACUCCCAAGCUCGAUUUCGCUAGUUGGUACUAGAAUUGUUAAUGGGGCGGUUAAAGAAUGAAAUCCAAGAUCGAUUCUUCUUUUGGGGAGUUCACUCUAAACCAAGCGCGUUAAAGAAAGACCUAUGAUGUGUUAAGAAGUUCUCUAGUCAGCAAUCACACAUGGGAGUCUUUCCAAAGAUUCUCUCGAAAAGGGUUUCUAGUAAAGCUUUUCUUGUACCUGCGUUAGGAGCACCACGUAGAAGGUUUAUUUUGGGACAUCUAUCGAAAAAGAUUCUUUAGGGCAAAGCAAAGGCAUUCAUGUGAUAGUCUUAUUUAUUCCUAUUAUGUGAUUAUGUGCGGCUAUUAUGGAAUAUCCGAGGCUUGGUAAUAUAAAGACUUCCGCCAAGAAUGCCAUGUCAUUCAUCUGAGAAGUAGAACGAGCCAUCCUAAAGAAACUUUCUUCUGUUCUAGAUUUCUACAAAGCGGUAUCAGGGUAUCAAAACACAUUUCUCCUUUUACCUUUAGUCGGUUGAAUAUCUUAUUUGAACGUUGUGAACUUAUUCCUUCCUUUGCAAUACCAGCACAUCUUGUGCCACAGAAUCGGUUAUGCUCUGCCUCUUCCCCUCUAUCAAAAGAUUGCCUUAUGUGGAAGGUUGACUCUGAACUUCAGUCAAUGAGAGGAAUCCCCUUAUCUAAGGUUCUUUGUAUGGCACUCUAAACUCUCUUUCUUAUGCGAGACAAUUAGUGUAACUACCGAAGCUCUUUCAACUUGUCCUGUCUUUGGAUAAGUAUAGUAGUUAAGUCAGUUAACAAGAUGAGAGUUGGAAAAUAGAAAUAAGAAAUGUCAAGUGAUUCGUCGAAUGCUUCUACUUAUGUAGAUGGAGUUCAGUACGCUACUAUAUAUACUAAUAAUUCCCAAGACAAUAUCGGGAUUGGGCACAGUAUGAAAGAUCUUUGAAAUCCUUGAUAGUCUAGAAAAGGAACGCGAAUCUAGCCACCACUUUCUCUAUUUAAAGAAAAAGAAAACUUCCCCAGACUGAGAGAUUGCUAAUCUUUUUUAUUCGCCUGGUGAAAUUAUACUAAAAUGAAAACUAGAAUAAUCAGAGACGCAUCUUUGCGAUAUGUAAUUACAUAAAGCAGAGGUUGCUCUUUCUUGUCCACAAAUGGUCAGUGGAGGUUCUUUCUCAUCUUCGGAUGGAUGGAACUUUCAACCAAGAGUUUCCAUUAUCACUUGUGAGAGAAGGAAAGAAGAAUGAGUGUUAUUCCUUUGAUAUUAAGUCAGCAACGGAUCAUUGGUCAUUAAGUGUCAUGUUUGCCCUUAUGUCUUGUAUGUUUGGGCCAACAUUGUCAUCUUCAAUUGUCAAUAGCUCUUUGGGCCUCAACACCUUUCUAGUCGGGAAACCGAUUGUGAAAAAGAUGAGUGAAUUUUCCUUUCUUUGUGGUCAGCCGUUUGGUUACUACUCCUCUUGGUCACUCUUUGCAUUGUCCCACCACUAUGUAGUGUGGUUGGCAGCAAAACAAGCUUACCUACAGAGAACCAUCCCUUUUAAGGACUAUGCCUUGCUAGGUGAUGAUAUCCUAAUUACUGAUGUACUUGUUGCACAAUAGUACAUGAUAUUACUGGAUAAACUCAGUGUGACCAUUUCGGAGGCCAAAUCAAUAAUAUUUGAAACUGGUUGCGUCAAGUUUGCCAAGAGAUUCUGGGUCAAGUCAAUGCAAAUUGACCUGUCUCCAUUCUCUCUUUAGUUGUUGUUAUCUUGUAGGACGACUAUUGGUCUCUAUUCUAUUCGUAAUAAAUACCCUGUAAGUGUUCCUACAUUACAAAGGUUGGUUGGAGCAGGAUUUAGAGUCUGUUCGCAUCUUUUCUCGACUCAAUCUAAACAUUAGGAAAGAUUAAAGGCUGCUUGUUGCAAGCCAAACCGGUCACAUCCUUUACCUCUUGAAUGGUUGAUUGGAAGGUUUGGAAACCUUAAUCCCUAUUUGAAGGGAAAGAUAGUAGAUUAUCUUCGGAGGGAAUUAAAACCCAAAAAGAUACAUCUCUUCCCAAAAGAGAUGGUGUUUGAUAAGGAAUGUGAUAUUCUUGAGCAUACAGUGAUACUCAAUUAGGUAAAACUCUGGCUUAAGUGGUGUCACUAGUACUAUAUGGUUGCAUUAUCUGAGGAGGUAUCCAUCGAUAAGAUGAUGGACGUUCCUAUGUGAAGCACGACUUGCAAAAGAUCGAACAAAGAUUUUGAUUAAAUCAAGUUUGGUAUGAUCUGGAAGUGUUAUGAUAUGGGAGUCAGUUGGGAUUUAUCGACUACACCAAGGUGGUUUCUAGAUCCUAAUACCGUUAUCCAAUUCGAUAGAUGGAUAUAUGGUGGUAUUUCUGGCGGUUAUUUCUUAAUGGCACCGGUAGACUUACCAUCGCCGGUGAAAGGGCGCAGGUCAUAAGACUGAAAACUAGAAUAAUCCUUCCUAAGAAAAGAGCUUUCGGUAAUAGCAUGAGAAAGAAGAAAGUGACUUCCCAAGUCUGUUGACCAACCUCCGAUAUAGGUAUGAUAAAGUCUGAAAUCAUUCAUGGGUAUAUGGGUCCGACGAGAAAGACUCUUUGUUGAGCUAGAUUCCCACCCAGCUCUCAUCAAGCUGUCUUCCAAGGUAGGUCUCUUAUAUUCAUACUCACCUCUUCUCUAAGAUGAGGCUACUACUAUUGACCCUGUCUUUAAGCCUUUGAUUUGAAUAAUCAGGUCUUGUUUUUGAUGGACUUCAUUUAUUCUUGCUUUAAGCUUAGGGAAGCCUGUUUACUUAGACAUCUCAGGAUGGGGAAUGAAUAAUGACGUAAAUCCUCUUAUAAGUCUUAUCCGGGUGUAGCUUAGGCCCCUACUUGUAGUGAUACCCCGAUCUCAUGGAUGAAGGCUAACGUUUUCCAUUGGAAUAGAGGAAUGUGCAUAUCAAUUUGAAUUUUCACUUUGCUAUCUAGAGAAUAGUUUGCCCUGAGUUAGGAUACGGAGUUUGAAGAGAAUGCCAGUAUACAGUUCAUCUUCAUCAAAGGCCAAGAUCUCUAUAAAUUCGAUUAUUUUGCCUCUCUUUGCUUCUGAGGUAGUUUAAGUCGAUACUUGAGGUCCAGUAAAAGGUCACUCCUCAUCCCAAUCUUAUUAAAGGAGAAAGUAAAUAGAUCAAGGUUUCUACGUACUUCCAUUAUGGAGGGUGCGGGCAGGGGGACAGCGGAGAAGGCCGGCUCCAUGACCCCGGUUGGUUGCCGAAGAUGAACCCUAACCUUGGUCUCCAAAUAAUUUUUUCUAAUAGUAAAAAGCACCUUAAAACCACGAAUAAGUUAGAGAUGAGGAUGAUGAGUUAGGAUCCUUUAAGGCUGGGGGCAUGGGGAUAUAGCCUUGUUACUUUAUGUUUAGGAGUCAAUUGAUCCCUCGAUCAAGUUCUAACUAGAAAUAUCUUAAGAGAAGAAGAGAAAUCAUUUGGAUUUGAGGCGAAACCCCUCUCCAAUGAGUCAAGUGGCCCAAGGGCCACCUCUCCGCCCUUACAGAGUUCUUCUGCUUUAAUCUCCGAAAUAGAGGGUCAGCUGACUGAGGAGUUAGUAUUGAUUCAUGCAAAGAUUCUCUUUUGAAGCUGGAGUAAGCAAUUGUCCACCUCAUCACCCCGAAGAGCAGUGGCUCUGUUGUUUUGCACGCCUAUAGAGAGUGACUCCAAAACGACGCUCAAUCAAAAGAAAGAGAAAUCAAAUAUAUACUUAACUCAUGCCCCAGGAAUCCCUAGACAGAGAGAGAAGGUACGAGGUAAUUUUUUACUAGAGGGAAAGCUAGCGAAAAGCAUAGAGCGUGUGAGACUUUGAAGGGACAUUCACACCCAGCCUUCUUUGAUCAACUUCACACCCAACGUUUUGAUUCUCAUAUCUUUUUUAUGAAUGUAAUGAUCCUAUCUUCUCUUCUUUGUUCAUAUUCCAAAAAGAUAUCGAAACUAAUGUAAGACCAAAAUAUUCGGAGGACUCUUCUGACAAAAUAAAAAAUAUGUAAUUGUCAGCAAAGUUGUUUUUUUUUCAAAUCCAAAAAUCCCUUCUUACUUAGAAUAGGUCGUUGAUUCAGCAUUAGAUAAAGGGGGUAAAAUCCCCAUUUUUACAAUUAACAAUAAGCGAUGAAAAUCAUUUUCUCAAUAUGAGUAUCCUAUAUCGAUAAAAUAUUUAUUUUGAAACCACCUCUAUAUUAACAUAGUGGUAGAAAGAGUACAAUGCUGCGUCUACACUUCAAACAGUUUUUUAACCAUGUUAAUAGUUCCACAUUAUUGGUUAAUAGAGAUUCAAAAUCAAUUUACCAAUGAAUCGCAAAAUACUAUGGUUCUAACAUAUACUUUCUGAAUUUAUACAGAAGUAAUUCGCGAGAUCAGGCACCUCUCUUUCCUACUUAUAACGGAAAAGGGUACAGCUGGUUGGUCCAGCCUAUUCUUGAAAUAAACAACUCGCACACACUCCCUUUUCAAAAAAAUCAAUACACCAAGAACUACACUUAGAUUUAUUGGAUUUGUUGCUAAAAUAUUAGUAUUAAACCCAAAACUCCCGGCAGAUGGCCAGUGGCCCAAAGAAAUGAAAGAAUCGGUUACAUUUUUCAUAUGAUCUCCUCUUAUAGAUAGACUAAAAAAUAGAACAGAGUUAUUUUUGUAGCACUUCUCCUCUCUUUUUAUUUAUUUUUUUAUUUUUUCUGAAAUUGAGUAAAAAAAUAAAAAAUAUUCGAGUUAGUUAUAAAUUACGAACUAAUGAACUAGCCCUUUUAUUGGUUAUUAGAACACUAACACUUUUUUCCUUGAUCUAUGAACGGGAAGGGUGAAAGCAAGUCAGUAUGCUAAUUCCUCAUUUGUAAAUUGGCCCUUCCUGUAGGUUCUUUUCUCAAAGAAUGAAGAAUUGCAGGAGGGAAAUCUUGAUAGAAUUUGAAAAAGCAAACGACAAGUCGAAGGCAAUAAAAUAUGAAAAAUAUAUUUAUUUUUCAUAUUUCUAAGCUAAGAUUAAACAAAAGGAUUUGCAAAUAAAAGUGCUAAUGCUACAACCAGUCCAUAAAUUGUUAAAGCUUCCAUAAAAGCUACACCAAGUAAUAGCGUACCUCGUAUUUUCCCUCUGCCUCAGGCUGUCUCACGAUAACCUCUACAGCUUGACACGUGGCAGUCCCUUGACCAACUCCAGGUCCAAUAGAAGAAAGCCCUACGGCCAAUCUAGCAGCAAUAAGGAAAGCGACAGAAAUUAGUGGAUUCGUGAUGAUGUUUCUCUUACCAAAAAAUAGAAAUGGUUAAUAAUACAAUCAACAAAUUAAUUAUGACUUAAUUAUUUCCUCUCUAGGACUCAUCCAGUCGAAGUAAAUAAGAACUUCGGAUUGAAGUAAUAAGAUUAUUGAAUCAUCAGAACUACUUUGAUAUAUCUUUUUGACUUUUUAGCCACAAAGUCUUUGUGAACCCAGAUGCCUUUCGUUCUCCUAUUUCUUGUUCUUGGUUCGAACUAUUAGUUGAAUUAUUUCUUGAUUUCAUCCAUUUAUUCAUUCAAUUCACAGUCACAAGGGGCUGGAAGGACUUUUAGUCUAUUAGAAUCCCCUAGAGUAGCAGUUAACACAAAUAAAAAAAACUCUGUUAUAGCCAUUUAUGUACAUUCAAUGUACUCUACGGAUAGAGGAAUACAUAGAGUUGAACAUAGCAAAAUAAGAAAUUGAAAGAUUUCGUUGAAAUUGAAAAUUUCUUGAAAAGCUAAUCAUAGGUUCUUCUCUCCAUUGGAACAAUAGGGCCGUUAUGCUCAUUAGUAAACUUGUUGAAGAUAUGAAAUAUAAACAAGGUAUAUCUUUCUGAUCAGAGGUUGAAUCAAUCAUCAGAAGAAGAAUUAGGCCCAAAAUUAGGAUAUAUUCUGGGAAAAUCAAACUUCCAUCGAAGAGAAGCAAAUGAAAGGCUUUCAUCAAAAUUCUCGUAGAAUAGAGAAUGAAGUUUUCAUUCUGUACAUGCCAGAUCACGAAUUAGUAACUGUUUCCAAUCAAAAAAAAUCCUAAUUGUGUCGAACUUUCCAUUUAUGGAAUAGUUAUGGAAUCUCCAUAAAUAGGAGCAAACCUUAUUCCAUGGUAUUUACAUAAGGUUCAUCUUUAAGAAAGCCCUCGAGAGGGCUUAGUUGGUCCAUGAUUUAUGUUUCAUCUUUCAUUUCCUUUUUGUUUGUUUUGAGAAAUCUAUCGAUCAAUUCUGAUUCUUUCUUUUUCUCUUGAUUCUUUUCCGAUCGAGAUGUAUAGAUCCUGUUCAUGGAUUAACGAAAAUGUGCAAAAGCUCUAUUUACCUCUACCAUUCUAUGAGUCUGUUCCUUUUUUAUAUGGCAUCGUCACUCCCUUUAGCAGCAUCCACUAAUUUGGAACUCAAUUUCAAAGCCAUAUUUCAACCCGAACGUUUUCGGGAUGCCGCUAAUAACCAACGAAUGACAAGUUCUUUUCCUUGUGUGGAUCCUAUUUCAAUGGAAACUUGAUGACUCGAUCCACCUACACUUCUUGCUUUUAUUGUUAUAUCGGGUGUUAAUCCACGUAUUCCUUGACAUAAAAGGGGUAGCAGAUUUCCUUCUGUCUUUUGUUGAAUCUUUUUCAUGGCUCAAUAAAAAGAUAAGCCAAUGAUUUUUUUUCGUGUUUCAGAAUACGGUUAACCAAAACUUGUUAACUAAUCAAUUACGAUAAGUUGGAUCGGAUUUUUCUCUUUUUCUCUGUAGUACCUCGAUGUGACAUGAGCGUGAAAGAGGUUCAAGAAUCCGUUUUCUUUUUAUAAGGGCUAAAAUCACCUGUUUGGGAUUUUUUACCCCCGACCUACACAAGUGGUUUUCCACAUUUGGAAAAGUUCUGUUAGGCUCUUAGUACCAAUCGGCGACCCUUUCUUCUUUUACUUCACAUAGAUUUUUGUCUCCUUGAGAGCUGGAAGUUCUCCAAAUGUAUGAAAGGCUGGAGGACUUUGUACCAUCCAUUCUGGUGUGGUGGUUGGAUUCUGCUCAACAGCCUAAGGACUUGGAGUAUAUCUUUUGUUCUUUCCACUGCUUGAAGUGAUUGUUACGACUACGAAGAAAUGACAAAUCCCAACUACGGAUAUAUAAGAGCCAAAACUGCUAAGGGCAUUUCAUCUAGCGUAAGCAUCUGGAUAAUCUAGAAUGCGACGUGGCAUGCCUAAAAGCCCUAAGAAAUGCAUAGGAAAGAAGGUCAUAUAAAACCCAAAAAAAGUGAUCCAAAAAUGGAUGACCUAAAGUUUCAGGGUAUGUCCGACCAAAGAUUUUACCUACCCAAUAGUGAAAUACUAUAAAUAAAGCAAAAACGGCUCCCAUAGAAAGUUCAUAAUAGAAAUAUGCAACCAUAUAAUAAGUAUCAUGUAGAGCAAUGUCUAGCCCAGAAUUUGCCAGAACUAUUCCAGUGAGUCCUCCUAUGGUGAAUAAAAAGAUGAACCCUAAAGCAAAUAACAUGCGUGUUUUGUAUUGUAUCGAACCCCUACAAGGUAGCGAUCCAACUAAAGAUUUUAAUUCCAGUGGGGACAGCUAUGAUCAUGGUAGCUGCAGUGAAGUAGGCACGGGUAUCAACGUCUAAGCCCACAGUAAACAUAUGAUGAGCCCAAACAAGAAAUAAAAGAACACCUAUACUAAUCAUGGCAUAAACCAUGCCUAGAUACUCGAAAACUGAUUUUCCCAAAAAAGUCAAAACGAUAUGACUUAUGAUACCGGAUCCAGGCAGAAUGGGAAUAUACACCUCUGGAUGACCGAAGCACCAAAAGAGAUGCUGGUAUAAUAUGGGGUCUUUCCCUCCAGCGGGAUCAGAAAAGUUUGUAUUAAAGUUUCGAUCGGUUAAUAACAUAGUAAUUGCCCCUGCCAGUACUGGAAGUGAUAAUAAAAGUGGGAAUGCUGUCACUAAAACGGACCACACAAAUAGAGGUGAUCUAUGCAUAGUUAUUCCAGGUCCACGCAUGUUAAAGAUAGUUGUUAUAAAAUUAAUAGAACCUAAAAUGGAUGAAACACCAGAUAGAUGAAGACUAGAAAUUGCUAAAUCAACUGCUCUUCCAGAAUGGCUGGUAAUACCACUUAAAGGCGGAUAGACCAUCCACCCAGUGCCGCUACCCACUUCUACUAAGGCUGAGCUUAAUACGAUCAAGAGAUUUGGAGGAAACAACCAGAAUGAAAUAUUAUUUAAUCAUGGAAAUGCUAUGUCCGGCGCACUUAUUAGAAUCAGAACAGAUCAAUUACCAGAUCCACCUAUUAUCGUCGGCAUAACCAUAAAAAAGAUCAUUAAAAAAGUGUGAGCCAUUAUUAAAACAUUAUAAAGUUGAUGAUUCCCACCAAGAAUUUGAUCACCGGGUCGUGCUAAUUCCAUAAGAAUCAGUACUGAAAAGCAUGUGCCCAUCACUCUAGCAGUGGCACCGAAGAUGAAAUGAAGAGUCCCUAUAUCCUUGUGGUUAGUGGAGAAUAGCCAUCGGAUCGGAUUUGUCAUAAAAUUAAGAUUAUUUCUUUCCUUCUUUAUCAGAAAGAGGCCCGCAGGGCUUAUUUAUUGAAAAGAGGGAGUGACGAGGGAUUUUUGGCAAAGAAAGACUGAUUAGCUCGCCUAAGGGUCGUAGCAGAAGAAUUCCUCAUCUACGAUCUAUUGGGGAUCUAUUCUCAGAAAGGAAUGAAAGGACUGACUUUCCUUACCUAAUAAUAUCUUAAUCUACGAUCUACAAAUAAGAAAUAGGAUCAUCUAGGCGAGUAGCAGUCGGUAGGUGGAGAAGAAGUCAAAGGCGAAUAUCUCUUUGCCCCCUUCAUCAUUCAAUGCUUUGGCCUUUGUCUCUAUGGGCUUUGAAUUUGGAUAGAUCCAACGGGCCUUCUUACGUGGACUUGGGCUUGCUUACUGGCUUCGCUGAGGAUGGGAUUCCCUACCCGAUGAGUCUGGCUAGGCUAUUAGGUACCUUUGGUCUAGGCUUUCUCAGGCCUAUCCAUAAGUCUGAAGUUCCAUCUAUAAAAGGUAUAAUUCUGAGCUGAAGCUCUAUUUAUUGCCCUAUUCCUUUUCCUAACCAAAGUCACUAAGGAGGGGCCGUGGUGGAAUGCAAUUCAUCUGAGCUUAGUGUUCUCUUCAUUGGCAUUUUACUAAACAAAGCAUGUCUUUAUACGCAAUUUAAUCUAACUUUAUACAUCUCUGUGAAGAAAGAAAAGUAGGCACUUUUAAGGCCAGUGUGUUGUAGCUAGAAUGGAUGGGAGGUAAUUUUUCCUAUAUUGGGUGCCUUGCUAAAGCCUUGUGCUCGUUUCAGUAACCUGGAGUUUUUUUUUAGAAGUAUCCCUCUAUGAACGUGAGCUACGGAGGAGGAUCAAUUUGGUAUAGGAGCAGAGUGGAAUCUGAAGCAGGGUAUCAGGUUCAGACGACCUCAAACUAUAUAGAGCAGGAUUAGUGGAACCUGUGGUCGUCUCUAAAUAGAAAGAGGUUCAGACAUCCCAACAUUAGGUUUUCUAAAAGGAAAUUAAGAGAAAAAAAUAGGAAUGGAAAAAUGUACGCUCUUAUAGAAGAGCUACAGAGGCGGAUGCGGAUUUAGUCCGAGCUAAGUUCAUAGAUAUUUCCUUAAAGAAAUUUAUUCAAAAAAUAGAAUAGAGCACUGACCUAAACUACACCGCUUGUAAGGCAAAAAGAAGGGCAACCUCACCUCAGGUAAUCACACCUUUCUUUCUCGACGAUCAAAGAGUAAAAACUAGCUUUCGAAAUAACCAACCAUAGAGCUACCUGCCAACAAGCAAAACGAGUUAUCAUUCACGGAUAACUAAGCUUUGACAAGGGAGAGGGGGUCCCUUCUCUCAUACCCACCCGUACAAUAGCCUAACAGAGAAAAGGCUAUGCCCAAUAGGGGAAGACUGCGAUGAAAAUAUAUCUAUCUAUUGAUGGCUAGCUCGUACAAGAAAAUAUUGGACCUAGGUUUGUUGAUGGAUCUGGUCUUGUCGAACAGGUCCGGAUUCGAGGUUCAAACACAAAAGCCCACUAGCCGAGCUGAACUGGUUAGUGAUGGAAGCAAUUCCCAUGAACUAAGAACAAAAGGAUGUACUUGCCCCCUUCCCCAGCCAUUACUGCUCAUCCACCGCUUUUUAUUAAAAAAUCCUAUAAAGUCUUUCCAGGCUAUCUUUUGCAUGCUAUUCCUUACGCCCUGAGAAAGAACCUCAACUUGGAUUUAUUUCAAGUCUCGAGUUCUUGUUUAGAAUUCUCGUAGAUGAAGUUCAAACGAGAGCUUUGAUGCAAUUCAAAUUGACAAAAAGUAGUGACAGCAUAAUAAAUGUCCUCCGAACGGAACAAAAUCUUUAAUUCCCGAGUUUACUUUGCCAAUAGACCAAUCAAUGGUGCUAUAUCGAAAACAAGAUUCAGUCGCUACAAGCAAAGGAUAAUAAGAAAGCAACCAUAAAAUGGGUAGAUUAACUAAAAUACACUUGGCCCACUAAGCACUAGGAGAGAUUGAAUAUGUAAGGAUAGUCUCCUCGGCUGGGGAACUGACCGUAUCCCAAACCGACACAGGUAAACAGAUGUUUUUCACCCCUUUACCUCUCAUCCUCCCCUGGUUGUGGUUCAGGAAAGGGUCAACUCAAUGAUUUUAUUUCGAAGCAAUCUCUGGAGUUUUCCCUUAUCUGAACGGGUCUUACAAGAAAAUUAGAUUUCAUAUUGAGCUCCAAAUAUAUGCUAAUGGGAUGGGAUGGCUCCUACUAGCUCUUCCCCUCAAGAACCGCACGUCCGAGUUCCCCCACAUACAGCUAAAGUGACGAAGGCCCUUUCCUUCACUCUUGGUAGGCGCUUCGCUGUAGCCAAGCUUACUACUAGCCUAUCGGCUAGAGCCAAGCUUCGAUCGCGAUUGCUCAUUGCUUUUGGCUGCCUUAUUCCAUCACCCAAGAUCGAAGUCAUCACCGGCAAAGGUUUCUUGAGUCCUCGUGGCCAGGCCGGCUUGGAACCAAGCUACCUCUUGCCUAUCUCACCCCUUCCUUCAGUUGGGUGAGCCUUCGCUUUUUGGAUCGUCUUCUUCCCAAUACGGUACCCCUCAAUUUUUUGUUCUUAUUAGGUUUACCUUAUUCACAGGUCGACCCCAUGGAAGCAAGAAAAGGCGAUCUUGUGCUAUACUCAGGUGAUAUCUUUCCUACCGAGAUACGCAAACUCCCAUCGUAUCCCAAAUCAUAUUUCAUGAAUCGAAAGGGGAAGCCUACUCAUCUAUUAGCUCCUCUCAUAGAUCGGUGUAGUUUUAGAAAGCUUCUAAGCAUAGUUCACUCUCGUUGAUCAAUCAAGAGGGUUGCCGCCACUCCUUAAGGUUAUCUGUUGUAUCAUACACUUCUUGCAUUUUGUCCUACGCUUCAUACCUCCUAUUUCUUAUUAAGGUAAGAUAAAGGGCCAGUCAUGGUGGGGUAGGAGCAUCCAGUCGGCAAUCUUUUUGGAUUGACCAAGAAGUCUUAUGUCCUCUAAGUCGGACGACGUUUUAACCAAAAGAACUUCUUACGCAAUUCAUGCCUUUCUGUUUUUAUGACCAGAAAUUCUUUCUUGAUUUUCAUCCAAAAUUGUUCUCUAGACUUUUUAUCAAUAUGAGGUAAUCAUAAAAUAGUAUAUAAGACUCGUGAUUCAGGCAAUCCAAUCUUUCGUGUGUAAGGAGGAAGCCCCCAAAAAUGGUUUUCCAAAAAUGGGUGAUCAAAAGAUCGAAUUACUAUGCCUAUCUUAGUGGUCGUUACGUUUGGUGGUCUUUCUUUUUGGAUGACUCAUCUAAGUGCUCUCCUUUGUCUCAUUUCUUAUCUUCUAAUCAUUCGAUUCCGCCCCUAAGGCUAGCUCCUACUCCUCCUCCUUCUCCUGACUGAUAGGAUCCUCCUUGGUCCUUUUUACAUAACACUCUCGCCCUCCCAAGAGGACUGGCUAUCUUUCUCUUUAUACGCAGUAUCUUACAAGGCAAAUAAAAAGAUCUACCUUGGCAACGAACACGUCAUUGACUGAUAAUUUUAUUGCAUGGAAUGCCACACUCAAUUGUCAGCGACUGGGGACCCGGUCUUCAUUAGCAAUUUAUGGUAUGAGCUCUUUCGUUUACAAGGGACACAAUUUAACAUGAUUACUACUUUACACUCUUUUUUGGGGUGGGGCUUCUUAUACCUAAAUGCAUCAGGCCCCGCGAGUAGUCGAACAAAUGAGAGGUUGUCGACAAAGGGGUCAAAGGUUGCACUUGUGAUAAUUCGAAGGUUGCACAAGACCCCUUCAACCUCGCCCAUAUGUUUGCUUGCUUGUACUAUCGUUCUCCUGCCUAACGUACUUUCUGGCUAGCUUCUUUAUGGCAAGCGCUACCCUAACCUAGCUAGCACUACAUCUUGCUAACGUCGUCUGAAUUGCCUUGCAAGCGCUACAUCUAUAUGGCAUGCCCACGUUGCCUUUAUCUUCCAUUGCAGUUUCCUUCUUCAUAUGGCAAGCGCUACCCGUCACUUGGACUACAUUUUCUGACGAUAACCUUGCCUGACUGCUUCUGCUCUGACUGUGUUGACCGUCGUACCUAAAUUCUAUAUCCCAUUAUCCAUAGAUCUCAUUCCUUAUCAUUGCCGGUCUAAGAAGAAAGUUGCUAAGUCAGAUGUCUGGUAAACACAUUUGUAAUAAGUAUGGGUCUAGUAGGUGUACUAGUAAGGAAACGAGGUACUUAGUUUAGCGUGGAGAAGGAAAGUAGUGGAUCUUUAUUAUCAAAUGAUAUGGGAGACAGUCAAAGCAUCAGUCUCAGUAUCAACAGAAGAAAAGGACUGACCGACCGCCAUUCAAGAGAUAUCCCAAAGGUUCAAACUUUUUUCUAUCUUUGAAACAUGGGCCGAAGGAAAGAGGAAGACCAAACAAAGUCGCGGUCAAAGCAAAGAAAAAAAUGCCAAAAAAGAUUCACUUUACCUUCUAGCUCGCUUAGCUUAGUAUAGGUUUCCUGCAAGACUUUCGAUAGCUGGCUCAGUCAAAUGGAAUCGUCGAUCUAGAUAGAAGGGUCGUUCACUCCCUAUUCUUUGAGAGGUUUUUUGCGACGGUAGCAUUAGCUAGGAAUCAAUGCAAGUCGAAAAGAGUCAGUCCUAGGGUGAAGAUAAUUGGAUUGGAAAAUGGAUUGAGCUGGCUAAUCACUUGAUGAACUGGUGGAGAAUGGGAACAGAAAGCUGCUCCCAUAAAUGAAUGAAUGGGACUCCUGGUCUUGAUCGAACUAGAGAUUCCGAAAACUUAAGGAAUCGGCAGAAAGAGAUGGGUCAGAUAUUGGAAUUUGCCCAAAAGUCCUGACUUUUUCAAAGUUGGGCUUCGAUCCGUAUCUGGCCAACUCCUCGAACUACUGGGUGCGUCAUAUUCAUGAACUGGAAAAGCAAACUCUCAAUUUGAUCAGGAGAUCCUAUAGAGGUUUUAUUUUUCCCUAAAUUUUGACUAGCGCGGUUCUUUUUCUCGACCAAUUUGAAUUCCAUUUCAUUUUGGAUUUGUUGUUAAGUAGAGUAGUAAGUAGCUAGGCGGAUUUCAGCGCAUACUGCAUUAAGAAUCUCUGAAGAAAUUAGAAACACCUAUGAUGACGAAUGAUUAUUCCCAUUUGUGACCGACGGUUACUUGCAAGAGGUGGCGAUCGACAGUGUUUUAAUGUGUCAUAACGACGUGCGUUAGAUCGUUAUGGUUGCCAAUCAAGAUAUCUUUUUUCUCAUGGAGAGUGUGACAUUGUAAACUUCCUUUGGAUAACAUUCUGACAAGACUUAGAUAUACAAUGCCCUCAAGGUAUUGGUGUUGUAUUCGACCAAUAGUAGAAACCAUGCAGUAUCUUUUUCUGAAGAGUCAAUGUGCUGAUAAGGCAUAACAGUACUUUUCCUUGGGUUUAGGUCUUACACAUGGUGUUAGCUUACAGCAGGUAUUUCAAAGGUGGUGGAAACACCCUGCAAAUGUAUAUCUAAAGCCCUUAUAUCAAGCAUUGCCCUCUGUAGUUGUCUGGGAGCUAUGGAAGAGGAGAAAGAAAAGAAGGUAUGGUGGUAAUAUCUCCUUGAACAGGCUAAUUUCUCAGGUUUCAGCAACUCUGCACAAUUUACUGGUGUACAGGUUUCCUAAGAUGAAAAUAUUGUCUUCUAAUUGGCCUGAAUUGGUUAGUGAGUUGGAUAGCUACAUCCCCAGGCUAUAUUAUAGAAGAGUAUGUUGGGAAUUCCCUAGUGGAGAAUGGAUUCAAUGUAAGAAAGAUGGUUCAUCAAAAGGUAAUCCAAGUAAGAGUGGUGCUGCUGUGGUGUUUAGAGAUGCUACUGGUGAUUUUUUGCAUGCUGCUACCCGUUCAAACUAAUAUGUAUUCAGAGAUAAUGGCUAUUCAGUUAGCUAUUGAAAUUUGUGUGCAUAAAGGCUUCACAAAUGUGGUGAUUGAGACUGAUUCAACCAUUGCUAGACUGAUCAUGAUACAAGAGGUGUCUGCACCCAGGGCUAUUGAUACAAUUGUUGAGGGAUAAAUAAAUUUGAUUUUCUCAUGUGUACAGGGAAGAAAAUGUUGUGGUAGAUAGCCUAGCUAAUUACGCCAUUGAUGAGGAGAUUUCUGGCACUUUUGAGGAGUUCCACCAGCUUCCUGCAUAAGCUAGAAAGCUUAUCAAUGUUGAUAAAGCUCAGAUUCCUUCAUUUAGAUUCAAAAUCCUCCAUUUAUGGACAUGCCUCUCGACAGACUCUUUCAUAUGAAAAAUCUUAUUAUCAUGGGGGAUAUGUUAUAUCACCCCUAGAAAUAAAGCGAGUAAUGGGAGAGAGAUCUAAGGGACUUUUUAAAGGGUUUAAUACCUGAGCGGCCAGAAGUCAUAAUUACGGGAGGCAGUGGAGAAGAUAUAAUUCAUGUAAUUAUACCAUUUAAAAAAGAGGAUGCAUUAGUCUUAAUGGGGCUAUCCAUAACCCUACUUCGUCUCUAUCGUAGUGAGAUGCCAGAAGAAGGUUACGAAAUCGAUUGUCUACUUCCUUCUUCUUAUUCUUGUCUACAACAAGAGGGAAGGGUAGAUAGAGUGUAAAGGAUUGACUUGGGGGAAUCAAUAAGAGAAAUUCCUUCCUCUAUGAUCAAAUCGUGGGUAAAGCCUUUAGUUGGAGAUGGAUCAGUUUAUAGAUUAAUUUUAUCUUUUCUUAGCCUCAUUGUUUUUGAAGAUUUGGCAGGUAUUCGCGUCUAUACAAGCAGUGGUGGCUCAGGCAUACCACCUGCGGGUGAUAUCACUCGGGUUUAACUUGAUAUAGCCUUAAAGAAUCUUUUCAAUAGUCAGUUUCCUAAAAGGUUUCCAUGGAUAGUAUUUCAUAGAUUCAUCAACGAGGUUUAUAUUUUCAUAAGAAAGAAUGAGAAAGUUCUCUUUGAUGAUAAAGUAGGGUAUGCCCUAUUGGAAGAACUAGGUUUGAGGGGGAAGAUAGAGUCUAUUGGGCCAGGUGAUGAUCCACUUCCUCCUUAUAACCCUUAUUUGAACUCAGAUGGUAAGGUAGGCAUCGCAACUUCGUUGUCUCAUUUUUUCUAGUUUAGGGAAAACUGGAAUUUUUACUAUAUCAACCUUCCAAAUCAAAAGGAGAUUCCGUUCCUUAUCCAAUUAGAUAUCCACGAUUUUGCCGAGAGCUUUGCUUUUUCUUUAACGCUCACUCUGCCCCCUAUCCCUAUAGUUUAAGUGCUAGUUAUCAGUUCUCUCUAUGAGCUUAUUUACAAGCUGUCCCCUAGACAGUUGGUACACGUGGUUAGAAGCUCUAUACCUCCCUGGCAGAGGCAUUUCCCUAUUUCUUCUGCCCUUGGCCUUAACCGCUUGCUUCGACGGAUCAGUAGCAAUGAUUGGGAAAUCUUUCACGCAAUAGUGUGUUUGAAGUCCUACUAAGAUAAAGAAGAAGAUGAAGCAUCAGGUCUUGGAGAAGAAUAAGAUCACAGAGCGCAGCAAACCGCUAAACUAUGUGUGCGUGAUUGCUCGGCUAUCAUGAGUUUGACUUGACUCUAAAGCUGUCUUUUUUAGAAAGACCGGAGAGAACCUUUAUGACAUUCUUGUGGAUAAAGCAGUCGGUGAAGAUUUUUCUUAUGUUGUUUAAGACUCCUUAUGGGGAAACUUUGGCAAGGUAUAUUAUUCUUUUUUCCCAGUGGUUGAAGGCUUCAUCGAAAGGCUCUCCACCUCAUGGCAUUAUUGGGUUCUCUUGCAAACAACACUUCUCCUCUCGCCUAUUCCUUUCCAUUAACUAUUGAGAUAUAUCAAAAUUUGCAUUACCUUCCUAGAAAGGAUUCCUUGUUCUGACCGCAGCACCAUAUCUUGACCCUUUUCUCGAAUUGAUCCAUUUUGAGUUGGCCCAUUCCCCUUCGACCCAUCGUAAAAGAAGAAGAACUGAGAGAGUAUGCUAUGCGCAGACUGACUUGCUGCUUGCUUUCUUUGAGGACUCUUUUGUAAUACCUUGAUGAGCUGAACCAACAAGAGAUAUUACGUUCUACCCUCUGCUUUGAGGCCGGCCGAGAGUGAGCUUCCCGAUAGUCUCUUCCUUCCUAGAAAUAGAACUCUAACUAUCAAACCCGUCCCGUCUCCUUACUCAAGAUAUCUGAGAUAGCUCCGUAAACUAAUAAAUUCUAAUAGACCAGCCCAUUAUCCUUAUGUUCUAAACUUGCUUCUUGGUACAGGGGGAGGGGCGAAGAAUUCAAGUUCUAGUUCUUCUUCUGCCUAAUCUUUAGUACCGCUUUGAGAUUGAAUCCUUAGAACCAUGUGCCCAAGAGUGUGAGGACCUUUAGAGCCAUAAUUCUUCCCCCAGUUCUACCUCUUUCUGCAAUAGUGAUCUAUCCCAUCAAUCCCACCCGCGAGCUAUCCAUUCUAACCUGUCUUUGCCUAGAAAGAUACGUCUAGUUCUCCCUUUGCUUGCCUAUCUCAGUAGGAAAUUGGAACAGUCUCCGAUUUCAAAGAAAAAGCCGAGGCGAGAGCUAUAUACCUUCUGGAACCGGAGCAAUAACUGCUAUAAAUUAAGGAGAUACGCAAGAACGAUCCAUAAAGCAAAGACUUAGAAUACUCCACGAGUAAGUAUACCCAUUCAGACUAGUUUUUGUUCAAUUAUAAAUAAAUAAGCACUUUGAUGAAGAUUUAUACCAUCAUUCAAGUAAAUACAAAUUAAGAUCGUAGAAACAUGAGCUUGUGAUAUAGCUACACCUAAUUCCAGAUCGGUUAAUCCAAGAACUAUAAAUAAAGGACCAAGAUCCCCUAUGAAAUAUAAAAGAUCAUUCAUACAUAGUUCCAAGAGAACCCACUUAAAAUCUUUACUGAACUAUGACCGACCAUCAUAUUAGCAAAUAAAUGUAUUCCUGAGCUUAAUGCUCGAAAACAAUAAGGGAUUAGCUCAAGGAGUACUAAAAAAGGUGCUAAUGGCAGUGGGACUACUGUAGGUAAUAAGAAGCUUAAAAAAUAAAGCCCAUUUUUUUGAAAUCCCACUAUAGUAAUACCAAUAAAAAUCAAAAAUGAGAGACCCAAAGUAAUGAGAAAAUGACUUGUAACUGUGAAGCUAUAAGGUAUCAUACCCUGGGGCUUACAAACUAACUAAAAAUUAAAAGUGACCAAGAUGCGAGGGGAAAACUUUUGUUUAACAUUUCCGUAAAGACCACCUAUUUGUUCGUUUACCGAGUUCAGCAUGAAAUCAUAAAUAAGCUCUACCAAGGAUUGCCACGCAUUUGGUACUAAGUUUUCUCCUCCCUUUUUAGUAACAAAAUAAACCAAAAGUAAGACCAAACUGAGAGUUAGUAGCAUAAACAAAGAUGGAUUUGUGAAUGAGAAAUAUAAGUUUCCUAUUUUCAUAGGAAUCAAUGGGAUUAUUUCAAAUUUUUCAAGUGGGCUGGAGACGAUUUGUGCUACAUCCAGUGUGAAAUAAGUGAAUUUAUCUAGUUGAGGCAUUCUUGAUUGAUUGAGACAAAAUGAUUCCCUCAAUACAGCUUAACUCCGUGAAGCCUGUACGAGUAGUGAAGAAGUAUAGAGCACUUUAGUUGGUUGUUAACCAACGAAAAGCAUGGGAUCAAAAAAGGCAGAAUUGAGAAUCUCAAAAAAAUCUCUUUCUUUAUUUUUUAGAAUAGCGAGCACAACUUUGGGGAUAAUCUUAAAGUGUCUUCCUCUUUGGCUAUGUGUUCCUGUAUACGGGAGGCAUUUUGAGGACGUCAGAGAUCUUUCAGUCACUCCACCUCGACCAACUCAUUUCUUGAUUGAUCGACUGGCAAACGCCCGAGCCGUAAAAGAUCAAUGAAAGGUCGAUGAUGUUUAUAACCAUUCUUUCUUUGCUUUUUCACAACUUUACAAGGUAGCCAUAGGGAACCUGUGGCUGGAUUGAAUCCUUAUUUUAUUUCGGCAUCCCCCUCCUUGCGGUUAAGAUAAGGACUUCGGGCAUGGAGAAUACUAUGUAGGUCCAACUGAUCACCACGCCUAUAUUGUAAAUAUACAGUUACGAAUAAUCCAGCCAAAGUAAUAGGAAUUAGACCUAACACGAUUCCAAAUAGAAAAACUUCAAUCAUUUUUAUUUGUUUGAAAGGAGAAAAAAAAAGAGGUAAUAUCGAUACCUAAAUAUUAAUCCGAAUUGACCUGAAUGAAUCUCAAUGACAAUGAACAAGAAUUGACAAUUGUUAACGUAAGUAAAUAUAGAAUACACGUAAUCCCACAGAAGGAUUUCUUUUUAUGAAUUGUUCAUUUUAAAUAUUCAAUUUAAAUAAGUCGUAUCUUGCUCAGACCAAUAAAUAGAGCUAAGGUUAUAGUUAAAUCCGCUAAAAGAAAACCGAAAUAACUAGUUAUAGUAAGCAUGAAGGGGCUAAAUUUAAUGAAAUAUGUUCUUUUUAUACAUAUGUUUAAAAAGCACUUACCUAAGUUUCAAAUUUUGCAAAAUAAAAAUAAAAUAGGAGGGUAGACAAAAAUCUCAAUUGAAAUUGGAAGAAUAAGUUGAAUGAAAAGUUUUUGAUUCAUCUAUCAUUAUAGGCAGACAACACUAACAAAGAUAAAGUGCCAGACAUAUAAAAGAAAUUGAUUCAUCAUCUGUAACAUCUAUCCAUCCCGCAAUUCCAAUCAACCGAUUCAUUGA
rnacentral:lncRNA from 1 species